GACGAACGCUGGCGGCGUGCCUAACACAUGCAAGUCGAACGGAAAGACCAUGAUCUUGCGGGGCUCUCGUUUGCGGCGGGGGUGUGUAUCACGCGAGUAUCACCCCCUUAUCUGACGGAUAACUUUUGGAAACUGGGGCUAAUACAGCAUAGAAUCUCUUGCACCAUGGUGGUGGUUGGAGAGUUUCGGCUGUUGUGGAUGGUAUCGCGGCUUAUCAGCCUGUUGGUGGAGUAGUGGAUUACCAGGGCUUUGACGGGUAGCCGGCCUGAGAGGGUGACCGGCCACAUGGGGCCUGAGAUACGGCCCAGACGCCUACCGGAGGCAGCAGUGGAGAAUAUUGCACAAUGGGCGGAAGCCUGAUGCAGCGACGCCGCGUGCGGGAUGACCGCCUACGGGUUAUAAACCGCCUUCGCCUGUGACGAGGCGUGAGUGACGGUAAUGGGUAAAGAAGCAACGGCUAACUACGUG
rnacentral:rRNA from 1 species